UUGGGCCUACGGGAGGCAGCAGUAGGGAAUUUUCGGCAAUGGGGGGAACCCUGACCGAGCAAUGCCGCGUGAAGGAAGAAGGAAUUCGUUCUGUAAACUUCUGUUAUAAAGGAAGAAAGACGGAUGGAGGAAAUGACAUCCGAGUGACGGUACUUUAUGAGAAAGCCACGGCUAACUACGUGCCAGCAGCCGCGGUAAUACGUAGGUGGCAAGCGUUAUCCGGUAUUAUUGGGCGUAAAGAGGGAGCAGGCGGCAGCAACGGUCUGUGGUGAAAGACUGA
rnacentral:rRNA from 1 species